ensembl:lncRNA
AGACAGACAGACAGACACGCAGACAGGCAGACAGACAGGCAGACAGGGCAGACACACAGACAGGCAGACACGCAGGCAGGUAGACACGCAGAGGCAGACACGCAGACAGGCAGACACGCAGGCAGGUAGACACGCAGACAGGUAGACACGCAUACUGACGGACACACAGACAGACAGGCAGACAGGUAGACAGCCGGACACGCGGCAGGUAGACAGGCAGACACGCAGACAGGUAGACAGGCAGACAGCUGGACAUGCGGACAGGUAGACAGGCAGACAGUUAGAGAGGUAGACAGGCAGACACGCAGACAGGUAGACAGGCAGACACGCAGACAAGCAGACACGCAGACAGGUAGACAGGCAGACAGCCGGACACGCGGACAGGUAGACAGGCGGGCACGGAGACUGACGGACACGCAGACACACAGACAGGCCUCCAGAGUGGCGCCGUGGUCUAAGGCACUGCAUCACAGUGCUAGCUGUGUCACUAGAGAUUCUGGGUUCCAGUCCAGGCUCUGUUGCAGCUGGCCGGCAGGGAUGUCCUUGUUCCAUAGCGCACUAGCGACUCCUGGGUGCAGUGCAUGGUCGCCAGGUGUACAUUGUUUCCUCCAACACAUUGGUGCGGCUGGCUUCCGGGUUAAGUGGGCAUUGUGUCAAGAAGCAGUGCGGCUUGGUUGGGUUGUGUUUCGGAGGACGCACGGCUCUCGACCUUCACCUCACCCGAGUCCGUAUGGGAGUUGCAGCGAUGAGACAAGACUGUAACUACCAAUUGGAUACCACGAAAAGGGGGUAAAAAAUAUAUAUGUUAAAAGGCAGGCAGAUAGAUGGACAGGCAGGCGGGCAGGCAGGUAGACAUUCAUCAUAUAUGGCUUCCUCUAUGUAUUAACUGCAUGUUUCUAUAGCAGACCACAGACAGACAGGCAGGCAGACAGACAGGCAGACAGAUAGGCAGACAGACAGACAGGCAGACAGAUAGGCAGACAGAUAGGCAGAUAGAUGGAUGGACAGAUGGAGAGGAAGAUAUGCAGACAGGCAGAUAAACGAACAGACAGACGGACGGACGGGCAGGCAGGCAGAUAGAUGGACAGACAGAUAGACAGGCAGACAGGCAGAUAUGCAGACAGACAGGAAAAAUUUCAGGCAGACAGACAGAGACAGACAGACAGAUUCUUCUUGGACCUCGCUCAUCAACAAACUGUUUUCUGAGAUACUGAAUUUGGCGCGCUUGGCACAUAGUUUUGCCCAUUCUAACAUUCAGUUGAACAGUAACUGAAUGCCUCGAUGCCUGCUUUAUAUAGCAAGACACAGCCACACAACUCACUGUCUGUAACCCAGUUUUGUGAAAUGGGCGGCGGACCUAAUAAACUGGCCGGAGAGUGUAUAUCAUCGAUACAUGAAUAUAACAGUAUAUAUAGCAUGUUAACAUGGGGAUAUAUACAGUAUCAUCUAUACAUGAAGAUAACAGUAUACAGUAUAUGGGUCGAGUGUUGGUUUCUUGAGGAGAGGAGCGACUCGGGCCAUCUUGAAGUCAGUGGUCAGGGAUGAGUUGAUGAGUGAAGUGAGGAAGGGGAGGUCUCCAGAGAUGGUGUGGAGAAGGGAGGAAGGGUUGAGCAGGCAGGAUGUCGGGCGGACGGACAUCACUAGUCGCAGGAUUUUAUCUGGAGAGAGAGGGGAGAAAGAGGCCAAAGCGUAAGGUAGUUCUGUGUGAGUGGGAUCAGUGGACUCAAUAGGCUGAGUGAAUGAGGAGCGGCUGGCGUCAACCUAUUCCCUAUAGUGAGCACUAUUACAACACUAUAGUCAAUUACUUUGGGCCAAAGUCUCCCAAAGCUGUCUAAUACAUCUGGUCUAAAGUAGUGCACUAUGAAGGGAGUAGGGUUCCAUAGGACUCUGGUCUAAAGUAGUGCACUAUGAAGGGAGUAGGGUUCCAUAAGACUCUGGUCUAUAGUAGUGCACUAUGAAGGGAACAGGGCUCUAGUCUAUAGUAGUGCACUAUGAAGGGAACAGUGCUCUGGUCUAAAGUAGUGCACUAUGAAGGGAACAGGGCUCUGGUCUAUAGUAGUGCACUAUGAAGGGAACAGGGCUCUGGUCUAUAGUAGUGCACUAUGAAGGGAACAGGGCUCUGGUCUAUAGUAGUGUACUAUGACAGGGAACAGGGCUCUGGUCUAAAGUAGUGCACUAUGAAGGGAACAGUGCUCUGGUCUAUAGUAGUGCACUAUGAAGGGAACAGGGCUCUGGUCUAAAGUAGUGCACUAUGAAGGGAACAGGGCUCUGGUCUAUAGUAGUGUACUAUGAAGGGAACAGGGCUCUGUAGAGGAGUUUGGUGCCAUUUUAGAUUGGCCCUGUGUGUAUGCAACAUGAUAUAUCUAAUGAUGUUAGAUUAUCUAUAUUAGUGUAAUUUAUGUUAUUUUAUCUAUAUUAAUGUAAAUUAUACUGUAUGAUGUAAAUGUCUCUGAAAAUAAACUGCCUGAUCCUAAAAGAACCAAUAAAAACCCAGAUGACAAAGCUCUCUGUCUCUCUAGAGCUCUAUGUAGAAUACCAGACCCAACCAUAAACCUCUAGACCAGGAGGAGACAAUCCUGUAGAGUACCAGACCUAACCAUAACCCUGUAGAGUACCAGACCUAACCAUAACCCUCUAGACCAGGAGGCGACAACCCUGUAGAGUACCAGACCUAACCAUAAACCUCUAGACCAGGAGGAGACAAUCCUGUAGAGUACCAGACCUAACCAUAACCCUGUAGAGUACCAGACCUAACCAUAACCCUGUAGAGUACCAGACCUAACCAUAACCCUGUAGAGUACCAGGCCUAACCAUAACCCUGUAGAGUACCAGGCCUAACCAUAACCCUCUAGACCAGGAGGAGACAAUCAUGUAGAGUACCAGGCCUAACCAUAACCCUCUAGACCAGGAGGAGACAACCCUGUAGAGCACCAGACCUAACCAUAAACCUCUAGACCAGGAGGAGACAAACCUGUAGAGUACCAGACCUAACCAUAACCCUGUAGAGUACCAGACCUAACCAUAACCCUAACCAUAACCCUGUAGAGUACCAGACCUAACCAUAACCCUAACCAUAACCC